CCUCAAUAAAUAAAUAGAAUGUUGUUUUUUGUAUUUUAAGUUUUUUUUUGUUUUUCCCCUCAGAGGAAGGAUGAAAAAAAGAAUUAACUGACUAUGGUUUUGCAGGCCAGUUUGAUCCCAGUAUUUUUAUUUCUAAAGGUGUUCUUAUAGUUCCUCUGAUUGUUACCAUUUUAAAAUAGAGAAAGUCCAUAGUGAUGCCUUUCCUUUCAGUGGCUGAUUGGCACGACCUCUUGAGAAUGCAUGCAUGAAAAAAAUAAAAAUAAAAACAUUCUUCGUCAAAAAAAAAAAAAAAAAAAACACAAACAACUGUUCAGACUUCUAUCAGAAUGCAGAGGUGUGAGGAUGGUGCCGCUGCCCGUCUGGGAAUCACUGUCCACGGGCCUGUCUCGCUUUCUCUUUUAAA
rnacentral:lncRNA from 10 species